rnacentral:rRNA from 1 species
CCUACGGGUGGCAGCAGUGAGGAAUAUUGGUCAAUGGACGCAAGUCUGAACCAGCCAUGCCGCGUGCAGGAAGACGGCUCUAUGAGUUGUAAACUGCUUUUGUACGAGGGUAAACGCAGUUACGUGUAUUUGUCUGAAAGUAUCGUACGAAUAAGGAUCGGCUAACUCCGUGCCAGCAGCCGCGGUAAUACGGAGGAUUCAAGCGUUAUCCGGAUUUAUUGGGUUUAAAGGGUGCGUAGGCGGUCGGAUAAGUUAGUGGUGAAAUCCCGAGGCUCAACUUUGGAAUUGCCUCUGAUACUGUUUGGCUAGAGAGUAGUUGAGGUAGGCGGAAUGUAUGGUGUAGCGGUGAAAUGCUUAGAGAUCAUGCAGAACACCGAUUGCGAAGGCAGCUUACCAAGCUGCUUCUGACGUUGAGGCACGAAAGCGUGGGGAGCAAACAGGAUUAGAUACCCUAGUAGUC